rnacentral:rRNA from 1 species
UUAGAGUUUGAUCAUGGCUCAGAACGAACGCUGGCGGCGUGGAUAAGACAUGCAAGUCGAACGAGAGAAUUGCUAGCUUGCUAAUAAUUCUCUAGUGGCGCACGGGUGAGUAACACGUGAGUAACCUGCCCCCGAGAGCGGGAUAGCCCUGGGAAACUGGGAUUAAUACCGCAUAGUAUCGAAAGAUUAAAGCAGCAAUGCGCUUGGGGAUGGGCUCGCGGCCUAUUAGUUAGUUGGUGAGGUAACGGCUCACCAAGGCGAUGACGGGUAGCCGGUCUGAGAGGAUGUCCGGCCACACUGGAACUGAGACACGGUCCAGACACCUACGGGUGGCAGCAGUCGAGAAUCAUUCACAAUGGGGGAAACCCUGAUGGUGCGACGCCGCGUGGGGGAAUGAAGGUCUUCGGAUUGUAAACCCCUGUCAUGUGGGAGCAAAUUAAAAAGAUAGUACCACAAGAGGAAGAGACGGCUAACUCUGUGCCAGCAGCCGCGGUAAUACAGAGGUCUCAAGCGUUGUUCGGAAUCACUGGGCGUAAAGCGUGCGUAGGCUGUUUCGUAAGUCGUGUGUGAAAGGCGCGGGCUCAACCCGCGGACGGCACAUGAUACUGCGAGACUAGAGUAAUGGAGGGGGAACCGGAAUUCUCGGUGUAGCAGUGAAAUGCGUAGAUAUCGAGAGGAACACUCGUGGCGAAGGCGGGUUCCUGGACAUUAACUGACGCUGAGGCACGAAGGCCAGGGGAGCGAAAGGGAUUAGAUACCCCUGUAGUCCUGGCAGUAAACGGUGCACGCUUGGUGUGCGGGGAAUCGACCCCCUGCGUGCCGGAGCUAACGCGUUAAGCGUGCCGCCUGGGGAGUACGGUCGCAAGAUUAAAACUCAAAGAAAUUGACGGGGACCCGCACAAGCGGUGGAGUAUGUGGCUUAAUUCGAUGCAACGCGAAGAACCUUACCUGGGCUUGACAUGUAAUGAACAACAUGUGAAAGCAUGCGACUCUUCGGAGGCGUUACACAGGUGCUGCAUGGCCGUCGUCAGCUCGUGUCGUGAGAUGUUUGGUUAAGUCCAGCAACGAGCGCAACCCCUGUUGCCAGUUACCAGCACGUGAAGGUGGGGACUCUGGCGAGACUGCCCAGAUCAACUGGGAGGAAGGUGGGGACGACGUCAGGUCAGUAUGGCCCUUAUGCCCAGGGCUGCACACGUACUACAAUGCCCAGUACAGAGGGGGCCGAAGCCGCGAGGCGGAGGAAAUCCUGAAAACUGGGCCCAGUUCGGACUGUAGGCUGCAACCCGCCUACACGAAGCCGGAAUCGCUAGUAAUGGCGCAUCAGCUACGGCGCCGUGAAUACGUUCCCGGGUCUUGUACACACCGCCCGUCACAUCAUGGAAGCCGGUCGCACCCGAAGUAUCUGAAGCCAACCGCAAGGAGGCAGGGUCCUAAGGUGAGACUGGUAACUGGGAUGAAGUCGUAACAAGGUAACC